rnacentral:rRNA from 1 species
UGCGUAGGUGGGAUGAUAAGUCAGAGGUGAAAGCUAGCAGCUUAACUGUUAAAUUGCCUUUGAUACUGUUAUUCUUGAGUGUAGUUGGCGUUGGCGGAAUGUGACAUGUAGCGGUGAAAUGCGUAGAUAUGUCACAGAACACCGAUCGCGAAGGCAGCUAACGAAGCUAUCACUGACACUGAUGCACGAAAGCGUGGGGAGCAAACAGGAUUAGAUACCCUGGUAGUCCACGCCGUAAACGAUGAUAACUCGACGUUGGCAAUAUACUGUUCAGCGUCCAAGCGAAAGCGUUAAGUUAUCCACCUGGGGAGUACGAUCGCAAGGUUGAA